rnacentral:rRNA from 1 species
CUAGGAAUCUUGCGCAAUGGGCGAAAGCCUGACGCAGCGACGCCGCGUGGGGGACGAAGGUCUUCGGAUUGUAAACCCCUUUUGGGUGGGACGAGCAAGGACGGUACCACCUGAAUAAGCCCCGGCUAACUACGUGCCAGCAGCCGCGGUAAUACGUAGGGGGCGAGCGUUGUCCGGAUUUACUGGGCGUAAAGAGCGCGUAGGUGGUUGGGUAGGUUGGGGGUGAAAGGUGCGGGCUUAACCCGCAUAGGUCUCCCAAGACCGCUCGACUGUGAGGGCAGUAGAGGACGGUGGAAUUCCGGGUGUAGUGGUGAAAUGCGUAGAGAUCCGGAGGAACACCGGUGGCGAAGGCGGCCGUCUGGGCUGUCCCUGACACUGAGGCGCGAAAGCGUGGGGAGCGAACUGAAUUAGAUACCCCCGUAGUCC